rnacentral:lncRNA from 1 species
UGAUAUACUUGCAGUGGGUGUCACAGAGAAAGACAUGGGCAAGGAUGAUAAUUCAAAAUUCCAGAACUCAAUUUUGAAAAAGCUAGAUGCCCAAUUGGGCGGUCUUUUAUCUGAAGCUUCUUCUGAGGAGGAUUUCACUGGAAAACCUGGCCAGUCAACUGUUAUUAGACUCCCUGGCAUUGGCUCCAAAAGGGUAGGCUUGAUUGGUCUAGGCCAGUCAGCUUCAAGGGCCGGGGACUUUCGCAGUCUUGGAGAGUCUGUUGCUGCGGCUGCAAAGGCUGCUCAAGCCAGCAACGUUGCUGUUGUGCUUGCCUCUUCUGACGGUCUCUCAGAUGAAUCAAAGCUUACUGCUGCUUCGGCAGUGGCAUCUGGUACUUAUUUUAUGAGUUUCCUGAUUUUAUAACUUACAUAUGCAGUAUAAUUGCAUAAAGAAGUGGAAUUGAUUUUUGGUGGAAUGAUUUAAAUUUUGAUAGGAACUGUUUUGGGGACAUUUGAAGAUAAUCGGUAUAGGUCUGAGUCAAAGAAACCUGUAUCACUCAAGUCUGUGGACAUUAUUGGACUUGGAACAGGACCUGAAUUAGAAAAGAAGCUGAAGUACGCUGAACAUGUUUCUUCAGCUGUGAUUUUUGGCAGGGAGCUUGUGAAUUCCCCUGCCAAUGUGCUUACCCCUGGUUCGUAUGUGCUAUAUUUUUGCUUUUUCAUGAUAAAUUUAAUCUUGUUUCUUGCAGUUAAUCUGUGCUGUGGUCAGUUAUAAAUGUGUUGUGCUUGUGAUUGAUCAAGUAGUUUGACUGGCUUAUCUUGUUUUUGUCAAUUGGCAUUUUGAUGGCCGAUAGUUUUUUUUUUUUUUGUUUCAAACAGUUGGAGAUAAUUCUUUGAAUUAAUUUGUAUGGAUUGAAUUCUAUGCUACAGCGGUACUGGCGGAGGAGGCUUCAAAGGUUGCUUCCAUGUACAGUGAUGUCCUUUCUGCCACUAUUUUGGACAUAGAGAAAUGUAAAGAGUUGAAAAUGGGGUCCUAUUUGGGUGUUGCUGCAGCUUCUGCGAAUCUUCCUCAUUUCAUCCAUUUGUGCUACAAACCACCAGGUGGAUCUGCUAAAAUCAAGUUGGCGUUGGUUGGAAAGGGAUUGACUUUUGACAGGUAAUUAUUAUGUAUGUAGUUUAAUACAAUGACUACCUGAAAGAUAGGAGAAAAUGAGAUUGGGUAGGGAGUGGGGAAGGAGAAUUAGAUGUCAGUUCCUUUGAAUAUUUCAACAUCCGACACUGCUAUGAAUAUAAUAAUGUAUUUCUUGAAAGCAAAUCAUACUAUUGUUUCUCUCACUAUGUCCCUGCCACUGAUGUCCACUGCUGUUGCUUUUUCCAUUAUCUUGGUCAAUAUGGAGUGUUACAAUUGGUAUCCACCUUCAGUUUUAUCAGCACUCUCUAUAUUUAGGUCCUUAUAUAUCUAUUUUUUGUGUUAUUAGUGGUGGCUACAACAUCAAGACUGGGCCUGGCUGUUUAAUUGAGAACAUGAAAUAUGACAUGGGAGGUGCAGCUGCCGUUCUAGGUGC